CUUUGAGAGUCAGGUGUCAGCAUGGGAGCAGAAUAGUUUUCCCCCUGUGUUCUCAGCUGGGAUAAAAAUCAGGCAGUCCCAGAAGGUUUCUGAGUGGAUGUUCAUGCAUGCCUGUGCCCUGUUUUGUGACUUUUGCCCAUUGAUGGGGUCUGAAGUAUCUCUGGUUUGUAUGUUCCUCUUGGAGAGAUGCUGGAUACUGAGCAAGACAGCUGGACUUGGCCCAAGAAUGACUAGCAGAAAGCUUGAGAAUUGUAUUAUGCAGAAGAAAAGCCUAAUGGACUGUAAGAGAGUCCCUGGGAUCUUGGAAUGUGAGUCUCCCAAAGAACCCUGGAUGGUGGUGCAGCAUAACUGAAGAUAAAGGGAAAACCACUCAUAAUAAAAGUGUGAUUUAUGAUUGUGA